UCCCGUGACCUUUGCUUUCCUUGUCAGAGGCGAUUUCGGCAAGUGCCGUCUCUCUUCCCUGAAGGCCGGGCCAGCCCUGGUUCCCCUCUCCCAAAGGGACUAAAAGGGCCCUCUUGGCACCUGGGGGAGGUUCAGCUCACAACCGGAAAGGCAGCGGGUCAAGGUUCCCAGAGGAUGAAAUGUCAGCCUCCGGCGGCAGCGACAUUCACCCAGAAGCACUAAAAAUAGACUCGAAAACAGAAGCAUCGAGUCUCUGGAGGCUGGAGGCAUAAGAUGAGGAAACUGAAACUCAAAGAAGGGAAGCAUUUGGUGAAGGACACAAGAGAAAAUGGCAGACCUGAGGCUCAGACAGGAGCAGAUGACCAUCUGAAAUGUUGCUUGCAUGGAGAAAUCUGCUUCAACA